rnacentral:lncRNA from 1 species
GAUUUUCUGAUCUUUCCUACAAGGAUCUUUCAAAAGAGAUAAGUGGUAGGAAUCAAUACACAUCAUCUUAAUUACCAAAUACAGUUUAUUUUAUUGUAAGUCAUUUAUCUCUCAAUGGUCCUAAGACAAAUGCUCUGUCUUUGUGCUAAACUUUUCUAAAAUGAUGCGGAAACAUUUGUCGGAUAAUUCUAGCAUCCUCAGACUGAGUUUUCUAUCCAAGAUAUUUCGAACUAUGAGAAAAAUUUUCUCAAAUUUUUAGUUUAAUAUGUAGACUUACUUAUUUUAAAAUAUCCUACUGUCUAUAUAUCUUCUUUCUUUUGUGUUGCUUUUCUGUAAAUCACCGAUGGUAAUGGUAUUAGUUGUGCAAGGUCAGAAUUCUCCUCAGGCAGUUUUUGUAAUUAUAUUUGCAAUAUGUUUGUGUGUGUGUAUACAUACAUAUACAUAUGAUUUAAAUUGCAUUGUAGAAUAAUAAAAAAACAAAGACAUACAAAACAUGUAUAGAUACAGAUACAAAUACAAUAGGGUCAGACCCUUUUAAGCACAUGGGAGUCUCUGGUGACUUGAUAAAUCAUGAACAGGGGCCCUAGGGAUAUUUUAGGGGGCUAGAGGUUUACAUAUCAUCCAAUCAUCUAGCCACCUACGAUGAAAAUCUAGAGGCAUAACACUUUUUGGGGGGCCAUUUCUAUUUUCCACAUCUCAAAUUCUCCUUAUGUGACUUCUUAUUUACUGUCUCUUAACUAGCUUCUCAUCUGGUAAUCCUCAAAUCCAUCAUAUCAGCCAGAUGACCUCUGUAAACACAAGUCAGGCAUUGUCAAUUCCCUAUAAAAUUCAUCCAUAACUCCCUAUUUUUCACAGGAUAAAGGCAAACAGGCCCUGUGUUUGGGCUCUACUCUACAUCAUCAGCUGCAUCUUUUGACAAGACCAUCAUGAAGCUUCAUGAAUAACAUCCUCAGCCAUGAACCCAGAACAAAUAUUUUUCUUCUGUUAAGAGUACCUAAGAAUGACAAGACUGGCACACGUGAGAGGAGCACAAGGGCUUUGCUGAGAGAAAAGUUUGUGCCACCACUGCAGAGGUGCCUUAAGCCAGUCGAACACUUGCAGAGUACAGUUGGCCUUAAGAAAACCUUAAAUUCUGAAUUCUUAAAGACUAUGUGCAGA